UUGUGGUUUUGGAUGGACUCGCGGCCUAUCAGCUUGUUGGUGAGGUAAUGGCUCACCAAGGCGACGACGGGUAGCCGGCCUGAGAGGGUGACCGGCCACACUGGGACUGAGACACGGCCCAGACUCCUACGGGAGGCAGCAGUGGGGAAUAUUGCACAAUGGGCGCAAGCCUGAUGCAGCGACGCCGCGUGAGGGANGACGGCCUUCGGGUUGUAAACCUCUUUCAGUAGGGAAGAAGCGAAAGUGACGGUACC
rnacentral:rRNA from 1 species